CCCACUCCUUCCCCGAUCCCCUCCACCUUCUUCCUCCCACGCCCGAGCCCCCCGAUCCACCAACCCACCGUCGCGUCCCCAGGCCGGCGACCUCCCACCGCCACGCCACCUUCCUCCCCUGCACCUCCGCGCCACCUCCACCUCUCUGCGCCGCCGCACCACCUCGAACCACCUACCCUCCCCGCCCCACCUGCCCCCACGCAGGCCAGCCACCGGAUCCGCCCAUCGCAAUCCUCCACAGCGGUGCCCCUGCCGUUGGAUACGACGCGCGCCGACGAGAAGCGUCGGAUCCCGCGCUCGGGAGAGGGCUCAGGCCUCCUCCCCAACAGCUCCCGUUGCCUUGUCGUCCCUGCUACCUCCCCUCCCCACACCAUCAGAUUCAUCUCUCCAUGGCGACGCUCGAUCGAGCCAGGCCCGAGGGAGGAGAGCAGCCGGGUCUCUUCCUCCUCUCCGGCGAGGCCUGGGCACCCCCCUCCUCCGGCUCGGACCAACCACCCACAGAUCCCGACCCUCGCCGCCGCCACCUCCGCUCUACACCGCAGGUGGAUCCGGGCCGCCACUGCCGGCGCUGCACCCCUGGCUCUCCCCACUGGACUCCCCUCUACCCUCCUCUGAACUGUACAGCAGGCAGUGCGGGAAACUGUGGCGUGCAGUGCACCUCACCCCGGCGUGUAGCUCGGCCCCUGCCCCGGUGUGCGGGCACCCUCGCGAGCAACAUCGGUCAAGUUCAUGCCUCCAAAUCCUCCACUUUGUGACCCAUCCCCAGGCCCCCGGCUACGCCACCCAUCCCUAGGCCAGCUCCGACCAGCGGCUCCUAUGGAGAUGCCCAUGGCCGCCAAACAACCAUUGCCCCACCGGAUCUUGGGGCGGCCGGCGUCUUCCCCUACUGGUGCGCCACUUCCUCCUCUCCUAGUAGCUAGUCCCUGCGAGAUCCAUGAUGGCUACAGCCCCCAAGUCGUUGUGUUGGUCCCCCAUCCUAAUGACCACGACCUUCACAUCCCCUCUUCACUCUCUGUGCCUGCACCUUGAUGGCUGGUGAGCAGCUCCAUUAGCUCCGCCGUGGGUCGUUGACCAUGCCGUCGUAAGCAGUUAAGCACCGUGGGUGAGGCGUUGUGCUGCAGUUCAUUUGCCGCUGGAGUUCACUAUUUAGUUUGCUUAUUUUUCCUGAGUCGCCCGCCAACAGUCAAAAGAACUCAAAGUGCACUGCAGUCUGCUGUUGUUCAGUUUUGUUAUUUUUGCGGAAACAAAAAAGGACCAACAAAAGAAAAUAGGAAAGCUAGUGCACUGCACGCCCGGAUGAGACUAAAAGGAACAUAAAUGCAGUUUGUGCAUCAUCUUCCCCAAAAACUGAUUUUGUGCAGUUCUCUGUUUUUUAUUUUGGCUAUGUUCAAGUACAGUGUGCUUCUUUUUUUAGUGCAGUCCCAACUUCGUGAAGAUGGCGUUCGUGUGUCCUACAGUUCCUACAUGCUGGUGGAGCGAUGCAUUGGGCUGGAUGCAUGAGAGAUAAGUGGCAUGGAAGAAGCACUGGAGAUCCUGUUGCACGGUUCAAAGACUACCAUGACGGCACAUCAAUGGCAUGGAAGAGGUCAUCGAGCCUAGCACAUCCACCGCGAUGGCUGCUUCCGCUGGUCAAUUUCUUAUGUUCUUCCCAUUCAUGGCCUAGCUUGCCCAAAUUUUCUUCUGAAUAUUUUCUUGUUGCUAUUCCGUGUAGCAGUAGUGGUGGUGAUUACUCCCUAGUUGCUAGUCAGUUCUCCACAUCGAGCCUAGGGUCGCCAUCCUGAAUAUUUUUCUUCUGAAUUGCAGUUCUCCCCACUUCUUGACGGGGUUCCGUUGCCAUGGUGCUGCAGUGCGCCUGGAUUUUUUAAAGUUUCACUUUGUUCUUGGAUAUGUGAGAAAAAAAUGUAAAAAAAUGUAAAAUAGAUGCAGUUUGUGUGUAUUGUGAAGUCCUUUGUUUGUAUUUGAGAAGUUCGUUCAGCUGUGUAAUGCCGUUCUUUUUGUUGC